rnacentral:rRNA from 1 species
ACACUCCUGCGGGAGGCAGCAGUGGGGAAUAUUGCACAAUGGGCGCAAGCCUGAUGCAGCCAUGCCGCGUGUAUGAAGAAGGCCUUCGGGUUGUAAAGUACUUUCAGCGGGGAGGAAGGCGAUAAGGUUAAUAACCUUGUUGAUUGACGUUACCCGCAGAAGAAGCACCGGCUAACUCCGUGCCAGCAGCCGCGGUAAUACGGAGGGUGCAAGCGUUAAUCGGAAUUACUGGGCGUAAAGCGCACGCAGGCGGUCUGUCAAGUCGGAUGUGAAAUCCCCGGGCUCAACCUGGGAACUGCAUUCGAAACUGGCAGGCUAGAGUCUUGUAGAGGGGGGUAGAAUUCCAGGUGUAGCGGUGAAAUGCGUAGAGAUCUGGAGGAAUACCGGUGGCGAAGGCGGCCCCCUGGACAAAGACUGACGCUCAGGUGCGAAAGCGUGGGGAGCAAACAGGAUUAGAAACCCGUGUAGUCCCAUG